AUAGAUUUGGCUAAAUCACUGGGUGUAACAUAUUGCAUUGUUGUGGAUUUGUGUUUCCAAAUAUUUACAAAGGCAUUCAUGUAUUCAUAGAAGUUAAAACUAUAAUACAAGACCAAAUAAAAGCAUGGAGAAAAGGAAAACACAAGGACAAUAAUUAAAGUUCAGACCACUGCUUUAGCCAAAUCUAUCUUAUCCAAAUCCAACUCGUAUGAUGAAACAAAAUGUUGAAAUCUUCUAUAGGCAUCAAAAAGUGUCAUCAAGGUGGUCUCAAUUCAAGAGGAAAGUGUAGACAUGGAAUGGAGAUUGCUGAUAAUGCUGUCGGUUAAUGAAUGUGAGCCACUGGUAGCCGCAAACUUCAGGUGUUUAGGGGCUUCAGCUCUAUCAAAAUAAAAUGCACCUGAGACUAGCUUUUCCUUCGGCUGUAAAGCUAGCCAAAUAACUGUGUCUGCACCUUGCUCGCUUGUUCUGAGAUUUCCUGAGAAUAACUUAUUAAAAUUAGGCAAACUCUUAGCAACUCCUGGCGUCGCAGCCCAACCUGGGUGCAUUGAGUAGAACGAGAUCCCUCUAUCCUUGUAAAUUUCAGCCCACUUCUCGGUUAAUGCCACCUGAACUCGCUUGUUGCGAGCAUACUGUUCCGACCCAUCAAAUUUCGCAUCACUAAAUUGUAGAUCAGCAGUCAAGGGAGCUGUGUACAUUCCACCAGAUGAAACUGUAAUCACUCGAGCAUCAGGUGCUGCUUUCUCUAACAAAGGCACCAUUGAUUCUGUCAUGGCGAAAGUGCCCAACACAUUCACAGCAAAAUUCAAUUCAAACCCUUCUGAUGUGGUGAUUCUUUUAUUCUCAAGCAAACCAGCAUUGUUAACCAAUACAUGAAUUGGAACUUCCUUUGAAGCAAAUUUAGAUGCAAAAGACUUGAUCUCACUAACAGAUGAAAGAUCACAAACCUCCAAGUGAACAUUUUGGUUUCCUGUUGUAGAUCGAAUUUUAGAAAGGGCAGCCUCCCCCCGUUCCUUGUUACGACAUACCAUAUAUACAUUUGCCCCACGUGAAGCAAGGCCCUCGGCAGUUGCGUAACCAAUGCCAGAAUUUGCUCCUGUAACUAUGCAAUUCUUCCCUUCAAUUCUAGACUGCAUAUCUUCUGGCUUGAAAUUUUUGGAAUGCUCCAAGAAGCCAGAUUUGGUGAAAUUGAAGUACCCACAAACACCAAAAGCAGUUGAUCUCCAUGUCUUAAGAAGGAACAUUUUGAAUAUGAAAGGGUUGCGGUGAUCAUAAGCAGUUUUUCUUGUUC
rnacentral:misc_RNA from 1 species